rnacentral:rRNA from 1 species
GACGGAGGAUGCAAGCGUUAUCCGGAAUUAUUGGGCGUAAAGCGUCCGCAGGUGGACAUACAAGUCUGCUGUCAAAGUGCAGAGCUUAACUCUGUAAAGGCGGUGGAAACUGUAGGUCUUGAGUAUGGUAGGGGUAGAGGGAAUUCCCGGUGUAGCGGUGAAAUGCGUAGAUAUCAGGAGGAACACCGGUGGCGAAGGCGGUUCUCUGGGCAUUACCUGACGCUGAGGAGCGAAAGUGUGGGGAGCGAACAGG